UACGUAGGUGACAAGCGUUGUCCGGAUUUACUGUGCGUAAAGAGCGCGCAGGCGGACGUUCAAGUCGAGUGUGAAAGCCCCCGGCUCAACUGGGGAGGGUCACUCGAUACUGAUCGACUCGAAGGCAGGAGAGGGUAGUGGAAUUCCCGGUGUAGUGGUGAAAUGCGUAGAUAUCGGGAGGAACACCAGUGGCGAAGGCGACUACCUGGCCUGUUCUUGACGCUGAGGCGCGAAAGCUAGGGGAGCAAACGGG
rnacentral:rRNA from 1 species